rnacentral:rRNA from 1 species
UACGUAGGGUGCGAGCGUUAAUCGGAAUUACUGGGCGUAAAGCGUGCGCAGGCGGUUUUGUAAGCCAGAUGUGAAAUCCCCGGGCUUAACCUGGGAAUGGCAUUUGGGACUGCAAGGCUUGAGUGCGGCAGAGGAGACUGGAAUUCCUGGUGUAGCAGUGAAAUGCGUAGAUAUCAGGAGGAACACCGGUGGUGUAGACGGCUUUCUGGACCGACACUGACGCUGAAACACGAAAGCGUGGGUAGCAAACAGG